rnacentral:rRNA from 1 species
GCCUAACACAUGCAAGUCGAACGUGCCUGUUUUUGGUAGCAAUAUUGAGAACAGGAAAGUGGCGAACGGGUGAGUAACACGUAGGUAAUCUGCCUCUGGGAUGGGGAAAACUCAGGGAAACUUGAGUUAAUACCCAAUAAGCCCACGCUCCGGGAGGGGUGCGGGAAAAAGGCGCAAGUCGCCUGGAGAUGAGCCUGCGGCCUAUCAGCUAGUUGGUGGGGUAACGGCCUACCAAGGCGAAGACGGGUAACCGGCCUGAGAGGGUGAACGGUCACACUGGGACUGAGACACGGCCCAGACUCCUACGGGAGGCAGCAGUGAGGAAUUUUCCGCAAUGGGCGCAAGCCUGACGGAGCGACGCCGCGUGAAGGAUGAAGGCUUUCGGGUCGUAAACUUCUUUUGUGGGGGACAAGUUGAUGAUGGUACUCCACGAAUAAGCCCCGGCUAACUACGUGCCAGCCGCCGCAGUAAUAC